GAUGAACGCUAGCGGCAGGCUUAACACAUGCAAGUCGAGGGGCAGCGCGGUGUAGCAAUACAUUGGCGGCGACCGGCGCACGGGUGCGUAACACGUAUGGAACUUACCCUUUACUGGGAGAUAGCCCGGAGAAAUCCGGAUUAAUAUCCCAUAAUAAACGAAGUGGCAUCACUUUGUUUUGAAAGCUCCGGCGGUAAAGGAUGGCCAUGCGCACGAUUAGCUAGUAGGUGAGGUAACGGCUCACCUAGGCUACGAUCGUUAGGGGGCCUGAGAGGGUUAUCCCCCACACUGGUACUGAGACACGGACCAGACUCCUACGGGAGGCAGCAGUGAGGAAUAUUGCGCAAUGGAGGCAACUCUGACGCAGCCAUGCCGCGUGCAGGAAGAAGGCGCUACGCGUUGUAAACUGCUUUUAACCGGGAAAGAAACGAGUGGACUUGUCCGCUCCUGACGGUACCUGGGGAAUAAGCACCGGCUAACUCCGUGCCAGCAGCCGCGGUAA
rnacentral:rRNA from 1 species